AUUAGGGUUGCUAAUGGGUAAGAAUAUUCAAAAUUUUAUCUAAAUUCGAAUUUGAACAUAGUAAAUUUAUUUAAUACUAAACAGAUAUAAUUUCGAAUAGGGAUAUAAAAAAUAAAAAUCUGUCGGAUUUGAAUUCGGUAGGAAUUUUACAUUAUAUAUAUAUAUAUAUAUAUGAUGUUAUAUUUGAAUUUGUGUUUUUUUUUUAAAAAAAUAGAUUUAACAUAAUAAGUAAGUUUUGAAAUACGAUAAAGACAAAUCAUUAUUUCGGGUUCGGAUUCAGAUUUCGAAUUUUUGGUCGGAUUCGGGUUUGAAUAUGGAUUUUUGAAGUCCGUCGGAUUUAUAAUUAAAACGGUUCAGAUUUCAGGUUUGGUAGUCUGGUCCGGAUUUGAAUAUUUGAAAAUCUAUUUUGGUUUGAUUCGGAGCCAAACCGAUCGAACUUUUAUUCCAAACCGAAAAACCAACCGAAUUGAAAAUUUUAGUUCGGUUUGGUUCGGUCAAUUUGGGCUUUUCUAAGUUGGGCAUUCAAGAUUAUAAUAUAGUCCAACGAUUGAGAUUUGCUGAUUUCAAGUUAAAUUUAAUUUAUAUUAAAAGAAUUUAAGAGAAAAUAAUAACAACAAAUUUAUUUGACCAAAAUAGAAAAUUCUAUUUUAUUUUUUGAAAUAUUUUCAAACUUAACAUAUAGUGCUCAGCCUAUAUGUUAAUUCGAUCGGUUUGGUUCAGUAAUUCAAUUUUAACCGAAUAGUGCUCAGCCUUAGCUUAACGGAGGGUUUCUAACUCCGAUUCAUUAUUCAAGAACAAUAUUAUGCCGUGCGAAAAUUUUCUAGUAUAAUUAUAAAUAAAAAAUUUAAUUUUUAGCUUCUUCAAAUGUCUGGUUAUUUAUAAUUUGAUAGGAUAAUAUAUUUCACUUGCGACAUUAUUUACUUUAGUUUGAAAAAAUUGACUUAAAAUCUAAAUACGAUAUUUCGUUCUAAAUAUUUGAUCGCAAUCCUUAUUAAUCAAAUAUACAAAUUUUUUGAAUAAAUUAAAAAAUAGGAAAAACUUCAAAAACCUCCCUUGUGUUUUCACUCUUUCUCACUUUAGUACCAUGUGGUUUAAAGCGUAUCAAGUUAGUACCCCGUGGUUUCGCAUUUUCUCACUUUAGUACCCUGUGGUUUAAAGUAUAUCAAGUUAGUACCCUAUAGUUUCGCAUUUUCUCACUUUAGUAACAUGUGAUUUAAUAUUUUAUUAAGAAAAAAAUAAAACCACAGAGUACUAAUUUGAUACAAAAAUAAAAUCACAGGUACUAACUUGAUGCAAAAAUAAAAUCACAAAGUACUAACUUGAUACACUUUAAACCACAGAAUACUAAAGUGAGAAAGUGCGAAACCAUAUGAUACUAAUUUGAUAUACUUUAAACUAUAAGAUACUAAAAUAAAAAAGUGUGAAACGACACGAGGGUUUUUGAAGUUUUUCCUAAAAAAUAUAUAUCAAACAAAAUAUGGAGGAAGUUGCAACGUAAUGGACUUUGCUUGCAAAAAGGUUUUAGUCACUUCCACAACGACUUCUGAGUCAACAAACUUCUCCAUCAACUUAAUUAUAUGAAAAAAAAAAAAAAAAAACAUCUCCUUCCUCAUCACCACUACAUCUUUCUUCUUCUUCUUCUUCUUCUUCUUCUUCUUCAUCAUCAUCUUCAUCUUCUUUGUUUAAUUACUAUGGCUGAGUUAACAAUCUUAGGAUGGUUUGCAACUCCAAUCAUAGAAGCCAUGGUUCACAAGGCACACUCCUACAUAUCAAACCACUUGCACCUGCACCCAUGCAUGGAGGAUGAUGAUGAGCUCCGUGCUCUUGAGUCCACCCUCACCCAAAUCCUCUCCGUCGUCUCCGUCGCCGAGUCGCUGCCGAUCGCCGUCAACAGCGCCAGCCACCACCGCGCGCUGCUUCGACAGCUGAGGGACGCCGCCUACGAGGCGGAGGACCUUCUCGACGAGUUCGGGUACCUGCUCCUCAGGGCCAAGGUGGAGUCCAAGAUCAUGGUGUUGUUAUCCCCUCCCCUUGCUGAUAAAUUUAGACACAAGCUGAAGAAGAUACUGAAGAAGCUGGAUCGAGUUAAUGCCUCCGCGGAGAGGCUCCUCCAUGUUGUUGGAUUAGAAAAUGGGAAUCCUAGCAUCACUAGUGCAAGUGCUCCACCUCAACAACAUGAAGCAGUUAUUGCGCGGCGCGCCACGAGCUCCUUCUUGCUCGAAAACCAAGUUUUCGGUCGGGACAAGGAGCAAGACGAGAUGUUGAAGUUGCUGCUUGAGCGCGACAGCCGAACAGGCCUCGUCAUUUCUGUGAUCGGAGAUGGAGGCGUCGGGAAGACUACUCUUGCUCAGAUAGUUUACAACGACCGGAGAGUGGCGGACCGUUUCGAUCUGCGGAUGUGGGUUUGUGUCUCGGAGAAUUUCGACUUGUCCAGGCUGACCAGAGAGAUCCUCUUGUCAGCGUGCGAUGAUGCGAACGGCUGCUUGCUGAAUCUCGACAAGCUUCAGGAGCAGCUCAAGAAGAGAGUAGCGUCGAAGAGGUUUCUGCUUGUGUUAGAUGAUGUGUGGAAUGAUGAGAGGAUCGAGGAGUGGGAGAACAAGGACAGAUGGAGGAAGCUUCUCGCGCCGCUACGAUUUGGUGGCCGAGGAAGCAAAAUAAUCGUGACCACUCGAUUGAAAAUGGUCGCGAGAAUGCUCGACGCUGAGAAUUCAAUCCACUUGAAGGGACUAGGAGAGGAUGAUUUUUGGUUGCUCUUCAAGAAGCAUGCCUUUGGCUCGGCACAGCACAAUGAGAAUUCAGAACUGCAAGAAGUAGGCAAACAGAUCGUGGAGAAGCUACAGGGGUCGCCUCUCGGGGCGAAGGUGGUCGGGGGAAUUCUGAACACUGAAAUGAGCGUUGAGAAUUGGAAGCGUGUUCUGAGAAGUCCAACAUGGGAUGGCAUCAUGCCUGUUCUCAGAUUAAGCUAUCGAAAUCUGCCGUCGCACCUUCAGCGUUGCUUCGCUUACUGCAGUAUCUUCCCCAAAGACUGGAAGUUUGAGCCGGAUAGCCUGAUUUACAUGUGGAUGGGACAGGGCUUCCUUCGACCCGAAGAAGGGAGCAACACCAGGAUGGAAGAGGUCGGGAGAAUCUACUUCUUCGAUUUGCUGGCAAGAUCUUUCUUUCAGAUACUCGAGCACAAUUACACGACGUACUACGUCAUGCACGACAUGAUACAUGACUUAGCUCAAUCUGUUUCUAAGGAAGAGUGUUUCAGAAUCGAGGGGAGCAAUGAGCAAAAGAUCCCAUCUACUGUCCGCCACUUAUCGAUCAACACUGAUGUUCUAACACAGCUUGAGAAGGUAUGUGAAUUGAAAAACUUGCGCACUCUUGCAUUCUUCUGCUAUGACCAUUUUGUUCCUAGCCAUGUGUUCAAAGAGUUGAGAAGCAUAAGAGUGCUAGAUCUAACAGGGUGCGACAUGGAACGAUUACCCAAGACCGUUGGGCGAUUGAUACACUUGAGAUACCUAGCAUUGUGCAGUACGCUAGCAACACUGCCGUCGUCACUCUGUAGGCUUUACAAUCUACAGGUGUUGAAUACUUCUAAGUGGUGCUGGUCUGGCCGGUUCCCACAAAACAUGAACAAACUGUGUAACUUACAACAUUUGAAUGUUACCAGUGGAUUCAUCUCGCAGAUUGCUGCAAUUGGGAGAUUGACUAGUUUACAAGGUUUAGCUGAAUUUCAUGUUCAGAGGAAGAAGGGGCACAAAAUAGUUGAGCUGAAGGACAUGAAUGAGCUUCGAGAAUCGCUGGAGAUCAAGAAUCUCGAGAAUGUAAAGAGCAAGGCAGAGGCCGUUGAGGCUAAAUUGAAUCAAAAGCAGCACAUCAGAUCACUGAGGUUAGAGUGGGGCUCCUCUAUGAAGGUCGUGAGGAACGGUGAUGAAGUUCUCGAAGGCCUCAAACCACAUCCUGAUCUCGAAAGGCUCGACAUCAUACGCUACUACGGUAUCAAUUCUCCAAGUUGGCUAGAAACAAAUUGGCUAUUCAAUCUCAAAUCUGUGAUUCUUACCAAUUGCAAGUUUUGGGUCUCUCUCCCCCCUCUUGGGCAGCUGCCCAGUCUCAGGGUUCUGAAAAUUAGUGGCAUGGAAGCUGUAAAGCAAAUUAGUUCUGAAUUCUAUGGCAGUGAAAACCUAAAAGGGUUUCCGAUGUUGGAGUUCUUAAAACUUGAAUGUAUGCCGCUUCUACUUGAGUGGCAUGGCGUAGAAGAAUACCCAUUGUUUCCUUCUCUACGCGAUCUUGAGAUUAAGAGAUGCCAAAAGCUAAUUCAAAUACCUACUCUUGCCACGCAUGCGAACAUGUCGAUAGUUGAUGUUGGACCGAUUAAUAAUCUAGAGUUCUCCUUGUCGCCAUCUCCAGACAAUCUCUUUACUUUGAACUUAUGUACUUCCACUAUCUGCCUCGACAACUAUCUCGACCGCCGCUUGUUUGGGGCCAUUGAUGUGUUGAACUUAGAUAUGAUCUAUAAAGCUUCAGUUUCCACUAUAGAUCUUCAAGCAUUCACGUCUCUCAGGCAACUGAAACUAUCACACUGUACUCAAUUAGUGAUAUCCGAAACACCAAAGGAAGAGACCAUUCACAGCAUCUUGCCGCCAUUGCUCAAUUACCUCAACAUUGAUUCUUGCGGGGUGACAGAUGAGGCAUUAUCUUGUUGCCUGUGUAACCUUACUUGCCUUUCCUUUUUAGAGAUAAGAAGUUGCCAUCAACUUGUAUCGCUUCCUUCAGCACCGAUUUUGUGUCAACUAACAGCACUCAAAGUAUUGCAUAUCAAGAACUGCGACACAUUAGUAUCGUUGGGAGGUCUACAUGUUCUUACUUCGCUUACAGAGCUUAUACUGACACAUUGCCCAAAUGUCUUGGCAUCAACGAUCAGUGAAGAGGACGACAGCAGCACCAGUCUUCUGCCUUCUUCACUGAUGUCUAUCGAGAUCAACUCAUGCGGCCUCAUAGACUCAGCGUUAUCCAAAUGCCUGCAGAACCUCGUCUCUCUUUCCACAUUGAAGAUCUACGGAUGCCAUCGAAUUACAUCGCUACCUUCGACAAGCGUGAUGCGCCACUUGACAGCAUUAAAGCACUUAAAUAUUUGGUGCUGCCCGGUCCUGACAUUGCUUGGCGGGUUACAAAACCUCUCCUCCCUCGAAAUGCUUCAAAUUUUAAAUUGCCCUCAGCUUCUGCAAUCUGUGAAUAGACAAGAAGAUGGCGAUGACAUUUUACCCCCAUCGAUCAAGUUGUUGGAACUCCAUUCCUGCGGUGUUAAUGACAAUUCUUUGACCCUAUGUCUGCAAAACCUCACCUCUCUUUCCAAAUUGAGCAUAGAAGGCUGCAACAACAUCACAUCUCUCCCAUCGGAUGCCGUGAUGUGCCGUCUGACAGCGCUAGGAGAACUGAGCAUCGACGACUGUAAGGAGCUGAUGUCAGCUGCAGGACUAACAGCGCUAAUCAACCUCAGAUGCCUUAACAUUGAAAGAUGCUUCAAGCUUGAUUCCAUGGCCUUGCUAGCUGACCUGAGGAGCGUUUCGUCACUUAAGGACCUGAACAUAAUGGACGGAUCGGAGAUCCAAUCGCUUCCUGAUAAUGGCCUGCCACCUUCUCUCGAAUAUUUCAGCUUGCUUCAAUGUCAUCCAGAGUUAAAAAUGCAGAUAUUAAACAAAAACGGACCGGACUGGAACAAGAUCUCGCACAUUUCACAAAUCAUCUGUUGAGCAUAUCUUCAGAUGGAACUAUGGAAGGUUUCUCUGAAAAGCAGGUUUAGCAGCAUCAUCUCAUUUCAUGAGUCAGAAACCGACAACAUAACUCGUGAUUCUCCCUGUUAGAUAUGACUCGAAAUCUAUUAUCGACUCAGGUUCGGGUUUACAACUCGCCGACAGCUUCGCGGUGCGACCAAAUUGGAAAAUUAAAUUGUAAAGGGAAAAUGAAUGUCUGUGGUGGGUAGCGGAGGGCUCAGAUCCGAAACCCGUUAUGAAUUUUUCUCUUCGUUUUUGCCCUAGAGGUGUGUGAUUGUGGUUGGUUGUAAUCUGAAGAACAUUGUAUUCCCCUUCGUUUCGAUAGUGAAGUUCUCUCCUCCCUCGCCCUUGGUUUUUUCCCUGCAAAGGGUUUUCCACAUAAAUCUGUGUGUGUUAUAUUUAUUUUCUGCUUGUGGUUUGAGUGUUUCGUAUUCGCUAUUUUUCGUUUUCGUGCGUUUGUCGUAACACUCUCCAUGAUUAGAAUAGCACUUUAUUUGAAAACUCACUCUUCUUAUGAUAUCAUCUUACAUACUAAUUUGUGUACUCGCGGAUGCUAAUCUUGCUCUAUUUGGCUCUAUUUUAAUUCUGAAUCCCAGCACUACAUUAAUCUGUUAAUUGGUGCAUGGACCAAAAAAUGUAUCAGUUGUUUCAGGUUUACCAUAGAAUAGGAAAAUGGUGAUGGCUGUGACUAGUUGAAAUAAUGAAAUGGUCACUGAAGUUAUCUAUUUAGCAUGCAUCUUUUUGUGUUUGAGAUAGAGAAAAGAGUUUGCCUAAUGUUUUUCUGAUCAAUCUAGUAAUAUGAUUUGGAGUCCUUUAGUUCUACUUGUAUCUGCUUCUCAUUUUAUCAAACAAGAAGUAAUUAACCCAUAAUUGGCCUUGAGUUUGUGCUGUUUAUUAAUGGUAUCAUUUGUUUUGAGUUCAUCUUGAUACGACGGCUACAGAUGUCAUCAAGCUAGUUUAAUUCAACUUGGACUGGGGCUUCAUUUGUUAUUUUUGCCAUACUUCUGUUUUUCUGAACGCAAAUUUUAUGUGAUUGGAUGUGUUAGUGAAUGGACUUCUUUGUUAUUGUCAUUAUUGGUUGGUUUCCAAUACAUCUGGUCUAAUAAAGAACAACAUCAUUUCAAAAAAUGCAAAGAAGCAAGAACAAAGUGUUGUUCUUUUUUUUUUCAGUCAAACAAACAACACUGACAAAUAUAGCAGAAACAACAACAAACAAGACGCAAGCUUUUGAUUUAUAACCGAAAAGGAUUAAUUUCUCCUCACAAAGACAAUAAGAUGAAAGGAUCAAGGGAGUAUCUAAAUUACAAACUCAAAGAAGUUCACUAGCUUUACACUAGCAAAAAACCAGUGCUUAACACUAGUUUUAUUGCCUAUGCUACAUUUAGAAAACAAACCCAAGUGAAAGAGAACCUAAGAUAUUAGCAUUGUGCAACUCUUAUACAUGACUUCCCAAUGAAUAAAAUGUCCUCUCUUUCCAAAUUAGCCACUAAAUGGCGUAAAAACACCCUAAUGCACAUGAAGUUUCCAAGCUCAAACCUUGCUUGAGCAAGUGCAAUUUGCUUGCUCUUCGUUUAGCUUCUGCGAGAGUAAUUUAGAAUUAGAAGAGGUUUGCACUGUAAAUUUGAAAAGACUUGAAAUGUCAUAUGGAAAAACAAGAUAAACAUCUUUGAAGCUUUCCUUUUUUCCCCUUUUCAACAAGUAUAUGCGAUUGAGUGCACUGGCAGGUGACAAAUUGUUUGCAAUUUACAUCUUUGGGGAUUGUUUGGCGAAAACAAAGUUAGCAGUACAUUUCUCUGGUUUCUUUUUCUCUUUAAAGAAAAGAAGUUUGGAUGCUAACCAACAAUAAUAAGUUGAUCUGCUGGUAUGUUCCAUCCCUCAGAAUUUGAGCUUUAAAAAAGAAAAAUAAAAGUGUAAAUAAAAUGAGGCCAUAGUAAAUGCACUGAUAUUUGGACUCUGGAGUAGAUGACAACAAAGUGUGUAAUUAGUUGAAAUGUGAUAGCAUAUGAUCCUGUAACUAAAUUUUACCCAAGUGUGAGUUGCAGGUAAACAUUCAUAUUACUAGGGAGUAUGCGUAUUUUUACUUUAUGCCUACUUCAAGGUUUUCUGCAGCUCAUGCAUUCAAUUGGCCAUAUCUCACAUUUUAUAUUUGUUAAAAUGACUUUCUCAAAAUAAAAAGGAGUAGAACUGUGUUCAUCUGUGCUUAAUUUGGUACACACCUGAACUUGGCUCUGCAGAUCUUUGAUGUAUUGGACGGCCAAAUCCAACAUAUCUGAUGUGCUUGUUUGCUGUACCUCAAGACGAACAAGAAAUUAUAACAAUAAACUAGUGUCACCGAAUUGCUUUUUUUGCUGGAAUUUAAUCAGUGUUAACUUAGAUAGCUUCUAAAAUCUUUACUAAUGCUAGAAAUUUUAGGAGAUAGCGAUUAGGCAGAAUACUGUAUCUGAAACCACGUUGACCUUUGUUUAAAUAAGGUUAAAGAGUAAUUUGUUAAUUACCUUGUCCAUGUUUGGAACAAGAUCCUGUAACUUCCUCAACCUUUUGCUGAUCCUUAUUCUUCUUUCCUAUAAACAAUAGAAAAUUAUCUAAUUGGAGUAAGAUCACAAAAAGUAAACUUAGCAUAUGAAUAUCAUCAAAGAAACAAUAUUCAAUCAAGAAAAGUUUGCAACAGAUUCAAGUAUACAAAGAAGCACACGAAACACCUACUUAAAUGACUAUUUUUGGUCCAUAACAGAAAAAAGUACCCUCUCAGCAAUGCUCCGCGGGUGUGUCGCACACCCGCGCUUGGCACGGAGUUUGCAAGCGACGGAAUCUUCUUGGAUCUGCAGGUAGUUCUCCAUCCCGGAGAUCUCCAGUGAGGUGCCUUGCAGGCCAAUCUGAAGCAAUUGAUUCAAGUGUUAAUGUAGAAAAAGUAUUGAAGGGUUUUUGACAUAUUUGUCACUCAGAAGUUUCACUGUUGCAUAUGUGUUGUGCUGUUUUGACAUAUCAAAUAUGUCAUCAAAAUAUUUGUUAUUCAAAAUAAUGCAAAUUUAACUUUCGAUCGAGUUCCUUCUGAUGAUUACCAACAUUUGGGGUUUGACUUAUAGCUGUUGUGAAGUCCUAGUGAUUCUGACUUCUUAGUAUUGUAGAUUCCACCUACAAGACGAUUUAUUGUAUCCUAGGAGAAUAGCUACAGAUGAUUUAACAUUUGUUAACUCGUUUCUAAACUUCUUCUUGCACCCUAAUCAACAGACUAUAAAUACCAAAUGCAUCGUCAGGAAAAAAAAAGAACAGAUGUAUUGGACAAGAUAUUCUAACAUUAAGGCACAUUCAUAUAAGGAUUCAUGAAACAUAAUUCCUAAUGUGCAUUUUACUGCUCUCAGAAAGAAAUUAAACACCAAUGGUUGGUUACCUGCGAGUCCAAGUUACUCAUACUAGUGAUAAUCUCCGCAUUGUUAUCCUUGGCUCGCUUGCUCGAAGGAGCGGAGAACAUGAAUGAAUUCGUAUCAUCCCACGAGGUGAUGGAGAAAUCAUUGGAACUCUCUCCUAUGUCGGGGAUGCUCAUCUCUGCAAUCUGCGACAGCGAGUCCUGUCGCGAGAAGCUCCAUUGAGGCCUUAACUUCUGACUCGCCAUCAUUGCCUGGACAAACUCGGUGCCUGUUUGAGAGUAGCUCCCUAUCCCCCUUGGACCUGCUACAAACCAUAUCAAUAGUUAGUUAAAGUAGUUGAAAUAGUGCUAGUCCAAGGAAUGAUAGUGAUUUUUGAAGAACAAAAUCACAUCUUGUGCUUCAAUAUAGCAAGAUUAGCAUUGUGUGUUUGCAAAUUGGUUUUUCGCAAAUCAUACAAUUGAGCUAAAAACCUUCCCUCAUACAUAGAAUUUUUAAUCCACAGUAUCAAAAUUUGACACUGAAACAGUAAGAACCUGAAAUGAAAUAAAAAAGAAACGUUUCAUUUUUUUCUUCAAUCAUCGGAAAAAGGAUUGAUAAGGACUAAUUAAUUCACAUUCAAAUUAAUCAUUUUGACUGAUUGCUUUUACGAGUUAUUUUAAUCUGGUACGCGCAAAAAUUUGAAUUUAUUCAUACAAUACUUUUUUGUUUUUAUCAAAAUCAAAUCGAGAAUUUAAUUUGGCCCAAUUGAAAAUUUUAGCACAGUUUGAAAAAAAAUUAUUAACCUUCCAAAUUUUGAUUUUGGCAUCCAACCUUUCAAUUUAUUUGAUUUGAGUUAGUCAACAACAUUUUUACUUAAGAAUUUGAAUGCGUCGUCUAAUUUUACACAUUUAGUUAGUAUACUUUAUGCAAUUCACACGCCGAUAAAUUCAUUAAAUAAGUAAUUAAAUUAAAUUGUAAGGUCAAAGUAAUAUCGACCGAGUUAAAUCAAAUAAAUUUAAAAGGUAGAGUAAAAUCAAAAUUUUAAAAUUAUCCGCACUUAAGGGCAUGUUUGUUUCACCGAAACUGAACUUUGGGUUGAAGUGGACUUUGGGUUGAACUGGAGUUCGGUAAAAACUACUUCUUCCCCGCUGUUUGUUUCGUAGUUAUGGAAGUGAAGUUCAUCAGUUCUGCUAUUUGUUUGGUAGGAUAAUAUAAAGCUAUAAUUUAUAUAUAAAUAAUAAAUAUUUUAAUAAAUAAAAAUAAUAUAAUUAUAUUUUUAUAUAAUUAAAAUUUAAUUUAAAACAACUAAAUUAUUUUUUUAUACAUAAAUUAUAGUAAUACAAUAAUAAAAUUAUAAAUAAAAAAUAUUAAUACUUCAUUAAUCAAUUUUUAUCAUAUUUUAAAUGUACAAACUAAAUAAAAAAAUAUUAAAACUUAACUAAUCAAUUUUUAUCAUAUUUUAGAUAUAUUAACGGAAUAAAAAAAUAAUUAGUAAUAUAAUUAAAUAUAUGUAAAUAUAACUAGCUUUAUUUAUUAUUUUAUUUUAUUUUAUUUUUUUCACCACUCUUCACCAUAAUUGACUUCGGCCUAUGAUGGAGCGAAGUCAAUUAUACCGUUUGAGGUUAACUCGAGUUUUGACCGUAACUUUUUUACGACGAACAAAACAACGAAAGUGAUCGUUUAAAGCGAAAACCACUUCCCUCCUCUCCACUUUCACCCCACUUCCACCCAAACAAACAUGCCCCAAAGGGAAUCCUAUAUACUUUUACCAAAAGGAAAAACAAGACUAAAAUAGCAAAUUGGAGAUUGCCACGUAGGUAUGACCCAAUCAGUAGGCCCCACUGGGAUCUUCCCAACUAUAGGCCAUUUAAAAGUAGAAUUUUUUCCCCAUUUUGAUUAUUACUUCCUACUCUAUAGCUCAGUGAACGAUAUAGAUUGACAGAAGUGGCAAAAUGAACGGCUAAUAUUUAAACGGUGCACAGAUACAAGUGCGCACAGGGUGCAGGGAAAUAAGCUGAGAUCCUCAAAACUCACCGUGAUCGACCCCGAGAUGGGAGAGGAGCCCCGCGGGGGAGCUGCUGUGGCGGACGAGCGCCGCCCUACCCCCUCCCCCCGCGCCGCCGAUCACCGAGUCCGCGAUCCCCGCGAGGAGCGACCCGGGGGCCGAUCCGAACCGGGCCAGCCCGGCCGGCGGCCCCAUCGGGCUCGGUUUUUUCCUCCCGUCCGGUUCGAACCGGUUCAUCAUCCCGAUCGAGCUCGAGCUCGAGCUCGAGCUAGAGAGAGAGAGAGAGAGAGAGAGAGAGAAAGAGAGAUGCCAAUUUGGGAAAAUAUGGGACACAAGUUAAAGUGUGGUGGGAAUUGGAGAGCAUUCUCUUUGUCGCCAUAUAUUUGACCAAACUACUCGCAUGGACCCGGUCUACACACAUCACGCUGUGCACCAUUUUUGUGAUAUGUGGUCCAUCUCAUCUUUAUUUUAAAUGCAUCAAAAUUAUUUUUAAUUAAAUAACUUUAAAAUUUAUUGAAAAUAAUUUGUAAUUCAUAAAAAAAAUCUCUAUAUUUUUAUUAUAAUUAUUUUGUACACGAAUUUUUAUAAUGGUAAAUCGAUUGUUUAUAUUAUCCUUAUCUAUUAAACUGCUUUGCAAAAUAAUUUUAUUAUAAAAUUAUAUUAGCUUAUGCUUUGUCAAGCCUGCGAAAUACAACAAUCUUGCCUUUUCUUUUUUAGAAGAAUCACAACGCACUGCAGUAUGCAAAAACGAGCGUUGUAUUACCCCAAACAUAAGCAAAUAAUAUUUUAAAUAUUUUUUUGAAAAUUAAUUAUUUAAUAUAUUAUUGUUAACUUAUUAGUGCUUAUUGUGGUGCAAUGGAAUUGGUUUACUCAAUGGGGAGCGCAGUCCAAAACGCGUUGGUGAUUCUUCAAGCCUUGUCACGAUUCUCGCGAUUGUAAAAUCAAGCACGAGGAGGUGGGGCCCACUGGAUGAUGCGCACACACUCGUCGUCUACGUGGAGUGGAUAGUGGGAUCAAGAAAGAUGUGCAUACCUUCCAAAAUAAAAAUAUUUCUAGAUUUUUUUUUUUUGCUAAAUCAUAAAAACUUUAUUCAAAAAUUUACACUUUGUCCUCUUAAAAUAUUUACUUUGAUAGUAUUUUAUUAAGAUUCUAUUUAUAUUUUAUUAUUUAUACCUAAAAUUUUUCUGAAACUCUCCUUUCUCACCCUCCGCCGCGCCACCGCGCCGGCGCGCCCUCGCCCACCAUUCUGUCCAUGCUCUCACACUCGCACGCCUCUGCCACCUCACUCUUGCCCUUUUUCUUGCCUAUCUCUCUAUCCAAGCCCACUCCGAAGAAGAUAAAGAGUAAUUUGAUUAUUUUAUCACAACGUAUCCUCUUGUAAAUAUUUUUUAUUUUUUAAGGGGGUAAAGUAAAAAAAGGGUAUUCGCAGGAGGGCUUUCUGUAAUUUAGUCUUUUUAUUAUAUUUAUUCCCCUAAAAAAAUUAUAAAUAGUUUUAGUAAAUUUAUAUUUGCAUAUAUGGUCAUCUCUUUAUCACACGAGUACCACGUUGACAAUUUUGAAUUGAACACGAUAAUUGAAUCACCUUAUUUAUAUUCAUACUUUAGUCCUUUUUUUAACUUAGGGGUAAUAAAAAAAAAUACAAAAGGAAACACGGAGAUUGAAUUACGGUAUUUAAGCACGAUGAUUGAAUCACUGUAUUUAACUUAAAAAUACCACCUAGUUAGGCGCUCCUGUAGCAAGAAAAGGGCUAAAUAUACAAAUAAAAAUUUAUUAGGGCUAUUUAUAAAAAAAAAUUUGAGUGGCUAAAUAUAUAAAAAAAAAAACCCAAUGUUUCUAUGUGCAUGCGUCUGAACUUUUAAUUUUAAUAUUUAAAUUUUAAAAAUUUCAUUAAAUAUUUUAAUAAUUUUUUUAUAUCCUGAAGUUAGUAAUUACACGGGAGUUUUAACCACUUAAUGUAAUUUAUAUAAUUUUACAUAAAAAAAUUGAAAAUGGAUUUGUUAUAUUCUUUGUAACUAGAAGAGGAAAAAAAAUCUAUUUGUAUUUUGUGAAUAUAUAAAAUUAUAUGAGAGACAUUUGAUAAACAUGAUUUUUAGUUAGUAACUUUUAUUUAAAAGAGAGACUUAUUAAACUAUUUAUAAAGUUUAGGAUGUCUAAUAAUCAAAAUAUGCUAUAAGUGAGGGGGUUCUAUGCACAUUGUUUCCCUAAAAGUAGUAGGGCAUGGUGUUGGUGGGUAUUUACCAAAUUUGCCAUUCCAUGUGAGAAAGAUUGCCACUUGCCUAGACGGGUUUCAUAUUUUGGGUUUCUUGAGUUUAGUGAUUGGAUUAAUUAAAUUUAAUAACAGGGACUAGGACUUGGUUAAUUAUUGUUGAGAAAUAACUCUAAUGAUAGGAAUUUGUAUUGGGGUAGGGGGGAUGAAGGGGGAGUGGGGAAGGGUUUGUUGUUAAUUUAGUAUUUCUAAUUAACUCUAAUGGUGGCUUAAAUGCACUUUUAAAGGGCAAAUAAGCACAUGGUAGGGUCGAUUUACUUGCCAACGUUGAGAUUUGUUGUACUUCUUUAGUGAUUAAUUAGUCGGCUCGAUAUGAGCAAAGCAAUUUGGCUUAGAAUUAAAUCUGAUACCGUAUUAUCUCAAAUAUUUGUUUAGUAAAAAAUAGCUCGAGAAUAUAUCUAACAGCGUCAUCAUUUAAUGUGACAUCAUCAAGAUUUGAACCUUAUAUAUAAAAUGGAAUACGACUAAUCCUCUUAAUAUGAUUAUAACAUUUCGGGUAAUGAUUAGGGUCAACAGAUUAAGAGGAUUAACAUACUAGAAUUAGAAUAGUUUUGGACUUGGUAAACCCCGUGAAAAGUGGACAUCAUAGUUGGUAUCAGAACCAAUCACUAGCCGAAAUUGUAUAAAAUAAGUCUCGGCUGAGAUAGGAUCUAGGAAUGACAAGUUAAAUCAGAAUCUGAAUGAUAAGACUAGUAAGAUUAGUCUCAUAUCAUCUGAUAUUUAUGAAUAUGUUUAAAAAUGAUGAGAACAUUAGGCUUAAAAGGGGGGGAGGGGGGGUGAAGAAUGUGACAUCCUCAUAAUUCAGAGUCGUCGUCAUCAUUAUCAUCAUCAUCAUCAUCAUAUAUAUAUAUAUAUAUAUAUAUAUAUGAGCUAGAAUACUAUUAAUAGUAUUUGGACUAUUUUGCUAUUAAUUUUUUAAUUAUUAAAUCUACACAAUCAAUCACACCCUUUAGAUCAUACUAUUCAACCAACCACCCACUCAAUCAUAGAGAGACCACCAUUAAAUCCCAGGAGACGCUAUCAUUUUAACCUUACAAUUUUUCAUCCUAACCCAGCUAUAGUAUUUUGAACAUUGAUUAGAUUCUAAGAGGUUAAAGGAAUUAAGCAUAUUGGAGAUAAAAUAAUUCUAGAAUGGAUGAUGCCCCUAAAAAGCGUAGCAUCACAUUUGAUUCUUUCUCAAAUAAUAUAAGAGCGAAGGAUAGAGCAACUAAACUAUUACCUGAAUGACAAAAUUGUAAGGUAAGAUAUAGUGGUAAUUUUCCAAGCUAAUAGUUCGACGACUAAAGUACAAAAAAAUUAAAGCUGAGGACUAAAAUAUAAUCUACAUUACAGUUUGGAACCAUUUGAUUCAAUUUUUCCGAAGAAAAAUUACUUUCCAAAAUAAGCUUCAAUGAACACCAUGCUCACUUAAUUCUCUCUAAGAUUGUUAUAGUAUUGGGCCAAACCAGGUUUCAUUUAGCAAUAUUUUGAACAGUAAUUAAGCUCUAAAGACGCAACUCAAUAACUAGGUUUGAUUUAGCUUCUUGCAAAAGCAAAAGUUAAAAUAAGGAAUUACAGGCGUUUUGGGCUCAACAUUGCACUCUAAUUUGGGAAUAUAGUGUUGUCCAUCAAAAAGGUCCAAUUAUUGCAAAUUGAAACAUUUUAGGGUUCGUAGAUCGGAUCAUACUGCGAAAAGCGAUUCCUAAGUAAAGAUACCGCUUCUGUGACGGCAUAGCGCGCAUUACACCCCUAAAGCUCAGCCAACCAAACCCUAAGUAGUAUGUGAGAAAAGCUAGCUAACUAGCUCGCCUCGAUUUGCCCCCCACACUUCGAUCAUUCCUCUAAACAGUUCUGCGAAGAUUAACUUGUUUAACUAGUAGUGAAAUCCCUCUAAACUUUUAAAAUAAGAGAAAUUCCUAUACAUUUAAAAAACUCACAAGUAUAUCUAUGCACCGGUCAAAGUUCAUCGUAGUUGAGUACAAUAAUUAUAUUCCUUUAAUCCGACUUAACGAACAAUAUUGUCCAAUCAAAAAAGCAAGAUCAAGAUGUAUUACUUUUCAUCUUCUGACCGACGACCUGCUUUGUGUUGGUAAUAACAAUUCAAAGUCAUUGGGGGUUUUAAAUUUGAAACAUGAAAGUGUACAAGGAUUAAACACUCAAAUCAUGAGUUGGUGUUGACUUUGAGCACUCUAGUUGACUUUCAAUCACCAGCUAGUACGGGCCGUGAGCAUGUUGGAGUUUACAUGCAAGAAAAGUCAACAUGCUCAAAGUCAUUGGCUUUGAGCAUGUUGGAGGUUUCAAAUUUGAAUCCUAUUUUUUUUUUUUUGAGAGAUAGAUAGUACGCUACCCGCUUCGUUUAUUUUAUUGAGAAAUAAACUUAACUGGAAAUGUGAAUCAACUAGAAUUCGAACUUGGGUCUCGGGUACCAAUCACCAAACCCUUUGCCACUUGCUCUAGGGACGGUCGGUAAGUUUGAAUCCUAGUUGAUACACAUAUUUAGUUAAAUUUAUUUCUAAAUGAAAUAAACGAAACAGGUAGCAUGCUACCUAUCUCUCUCAAAAAAAAAAAAAGAAAAAAUGAUUGAGUAAUAUUGUAUGAGAGAAUAGUUUCAAAAUUAAGUCGUUAUCUUUUAUUGGUCUCUUCUGUUAUCUUUCUCCAUCAGUGCUUUUUUCUUGGUCUAUAAAUGUAGGUGAUAUUAGACUUCAUUUCAUAGAAUAUUAAUUCAAGAGGAGUAUAUAACAACAACAACCUGUUCAGAGUAUACAUCUGAAACAAAUAUAAAUAUAACAUAAAUCCAAUUUGCACCUAUAUGUAAAUUGAACAAGUAUGGAUUAAUACCCAUAAUAUAUUUUCCAUAAUCCCACCUUUUUUUUUAUUAUCAUUCUCUAAUUAUUAUUUGCUCAUGAUGUGAGUUGAGUCCACAAGUAGUACCAGUGAUUUUAACUCUUUACAAUAUUGGGCUUUCACCCUAACAAAGACAAAUAGGCCCAGGCCCAACAUAUCCGUCGAAAGGCCCAGCUUCUUUUUUUAAAAAAAAUAUAGUAAUCGCUGAAAUAUCUAUCUAUUUAUAUUAAAUCAGAAGAUAGAGACAUACACGAACUCUCAAUUUGAGCGCAAAAAUUCAAACCCCUAACACAAUAGUUUCUUCUCUAGUUGAGUGGUGAUCUGAUCUCCAUACAAUUUUCACCUUUAAUAUCUUCAUUUAUAAUUGUAAAAGGAAAAUUAAGUGGGCAUGUCAAAUUAAUUUGGGAAAACUUCAAAAAACCCUCCAGUGGUUUCGUAGUUCUCACUUUGUCCUCCCGUGGUUUAAAAUGUAUCAAAUUGUCCCCCUGUGGUUUCGUUUUUAUUUUUUCGGUAGCUUUUUCGUUAAUAUUUCAUUAAAUUAUAUAAAAAAAAACUUCAUAUAUCCAUCUAGAUUUAUCAAAUAUUCACUUUAGUACCCUUUAAUUUUAACUUUAUCACUGAUUUAAGAAAAAAAAUAAUAAAAUUGAUAAAAAAAAGAGAAAAAAGAAACCACAGGGAGGCAAAUUGAUACAUUUUAAACUACAGGGGGGCAAAGUGAGAAACUAUGAAACUACAGGGGGAGUUUUUGAAGUUUUCCCAAUUAAUUAAGCUUUUGGGAAAUGAUGAAACAAAUGACAUGACAAACUCUUUAUUUAAUUCUUUUUGUCGUGUGAAUGUCAUAAAAAGACACAGUACAUGAUAAAUUCCAAAAAGCUUAUGCGUGCAUUAGUUGGUCUCAACAUUCAUACAAAACCGAGUGAAUUAAUGGAGCAAUAUAUAGCUGGUGAAUGAACUGACAUCUCCAGCUAGCUUCUUCUUCUUCUUCUACGCACAGAACUACAAAAGUCAAGAUACCAUAAACUAUUUUCCAUUGUCUCUUCAAAAUGAGAAAGAGAAAAGUUAAGCAAACAUUGAGAGGGUCCCAAUGUCCAAUUCUUGGGGUACAUAAACUUUGUUUAAUUUCCAUGGAGUAGAUAUAUACUCUUUUUCUUUUUUUUUUGAGAGAUAAGUAGCACGCUACCCGCUUCGUUUAUUUUAUUUAGAAAUAAGGCUAAAUUACAUAAAAUCCUCAUUUUCCCUCCCUGUCAUUUAAAAACCUACACUUUACCCACUUGUAAAAUGAAAAAUGUUCACUUCUUCCCCUGCUAUUAGUAAUCCGUUAGGGUUCCGUUUAUAAAAUAUUAUUAUAUUUUUUUUUAUGCCAACAAUGCCCUCAGCCUUUUCUCCUGUGAACAUGAUGAGGGGCAAAAUGGUGAGGGGCAAAAUGGUCAUUUUUUUAUCACAGUUCACACCGUACCUCCUUAUAAACAUUUUUCAUUUUAUAAAAGAGCAAAGUGUAAGUUUUUAAAUGACAGAGGGGAAAAAGUGAAAAAUCGGAUUUUGAUAGGAGAGUUUUCUGUAAUUUAGCGUAGAAAUAAAUUUAGCUGGAAAUAUGAAUCAACUAGGAUUCGAACUUGGGACAUCAGGUACCAACCACCAAGCCCUUUGCCACUUACUCUAGGGACGGUCGGUAGUAGAUAUAUACUUUUAACACAGCAGAAUUUGAACUCGGGGCGAAAACUCUGCUCUAGUAUCAUGUAAAAUAACUAUUUGUCUUUUAAAAGACAUAAGCUGUGGAAUAACAGUAUGAUCAACAAAUACAAACACCUUAAUUUUUAAGCUGUUACAUGUAUUUAUGCUUUAGUAGUUUCUAAUCAUUAAAUUUUUUUCAAAAAUAGAUGAAUUUUGCAAACAUGUAUACCAUAUAUACUCCUCUAAAUGAUUUAAGAACUAUGUUAAUUAACAUGCUUUACUCAUUAGGUAAAUGAACAAGCUCAACAACAAUAAGAGAACAAGCUAGAUGAUUUAAUCCAAAUACAUGGCUCAUUGAAAAUGACUUAUGAGUACGAAAAAUGAUCAUACUCAUAAGAAUAUAGUAGCGGAAUUAACACACACAACUCUCUCUCUCUCUCUCUCUCUAUCUCCGGGGUACUCGCCCAUUUACUAGAGGGUUUCUUAUUAGACACUCCGUACCAAAAGGUCCGUUGUAGAAAACCACUUGAAGAUAGGGCACUAGGUGUUGUACCAACUGAGUAUGGAAGCUGGACAACUAUGUUCCCUAUACAGCUACAAGAGUGUUCUUGUUUUUGUUCUUAACGUUUUAAUAAUCUUAUUGGUCUCGGCCCUUUCUCUCAAUACUUCCUAGGAAACAUGCGUGUAUAUGGUUCUCUAUUCUAUCGUUCUAUAUAUAUAUCUUGAUCCGAUGAUAUGAUAGCCAUGUAGUUCAGAUUGCCUCGGCUAGCAGCUAAACCUUCGGCGUAGUAGCUUUUGUUGAACCAUCGUGCCUCGCGAGGCACGAUGGCUAUCGUAUCAUCGGCCUAGAGAGAGAGAGAGAGAGAGAGAGAGAGAGAGAGAGAGAGAGAGAGAGAGAUAUAUAUAUAUAUAUAUCUAUCUAUCUAUCUAUCUANNNNNNNNNNNAUAUAUAUAUAUAUAUAUAUAAUACUUCUCUAGUAGUUAUAAGCCAUUACAUUAAAUGUUGCAAACUAGAUUGUUUUUGUUUCUGGAAUUCCACAGGUUUGGCACUUGAAAGCAAAUUUUAUAUUUUGACCAAUUAAGAGGGUGUAUUAUAUUAAUUGACCAAUGACUACGAUUGAAUAAAAGCUGCCAAUAAAUCAAAGCUAAUUUUGACAGCUCUAUUAAAGAACAAAAUUUGUUUCAUUUAAUGUGGAAGUUGCAACUGGCAUAGAUUUGGGAUAUGAAAUUGACUUAAUUGAUAUGUCAAACUAUUUCACAUAAAAUUUUACAUCCAAAUUCAAUAUUCAUCAUUCUAAUUAACCUUUUCCAUCUAUUUAAUACAGUAAUAAAACACAUGAUAAAAAUUUACUCAACUGUGGUGAUCCUGUCACAUCUCGAGGCUCCUUCGUAGAAUUAAUUUUUUGUAAGUAAAGCAGUAGAAAAUAUUUUUUUUUGACAUACGGACAGAAUCUUUUCUAUGUAAAUGGACAGUCAUAAUUGAAAACUACAAAACUUUACAAAAAUAUUUGAACAUUUCAAAUUUUAUUUUAUAAAAACUUGGCUUCUGCGUGUCCUGCCACCUAUUAGCAAUGAAAUACGCUCAUGCAUGUCAUUUUGUUAUAAACAAUGAACGAUGAGAUUAUCUGGUGCACAGAGUUUAAUUACGUACAUACAGAGUUGUGAAGAAACUGCUUCAUAUAUAGAAAUUAAGCUAUUGAUCAGCAUUGUGUCCUUCACCAUUAAAAAUUUAGGUGCUUUGUUCUACCAAACUUUUUCUUGCUUUUCAAGUUCCCUAACUUUGAAUCUAAAGAAUGAGUAAGAAGAAUGUGCACUGAUCCAAAAAGUCAUCGUCAGUUCCCAACCAACUAUCUAAUUAAUUAAUCCAACACUACCCACUGUCUCUAGCACAAGUAACAAAGGGUUUGACGGUUGGUACUCUACGCUCCGAAUUUGAAUCCUAGUUGAUUCAUAUUUUCAGCUAAAUUUAUUUCUAAAUAAAAUAAAUGAAACGAAUAGCAUAUUAUCUAUCUCGAAAAAAAAAAGAAAAAUCCAACACUGGCUAGCAUGCAAGUAAUUAUUUAUUAUGCACUUUUGAGUUUUAAAUUUUUAAUACAACGAAAAAAAGGUGAUCUACAAAAGCCACAGUCAAAAGAAGCACUUGCACACUCAAACGAAGAGACCUUUUAGCUCAUUUUCCCACUACAUAAAAAAGUCAUGUCACUAAUAAAAGCACAAAAAGUGUCUAAGUUCUUAGAAGGAACACAUUUAUUGUUCAUAGGAGUUAGGAGAACUCAAACCUAAUCCUUUGAACAAGAGAUCCACACACAUUAGUGUACCUUUUUGUUUUUAGCACAAUAUAGCCAUUUUAAUUAAUAGAGUAUUUGUGUGGUGUCUUUUUUUCUUUUUUUCCUUUUUUUUUUUUUGGCUAUGCCAUCGAUCACAAAUGAUAUGUUGACUCAAAAUUGAAAGCUCUAAUUUUAUGCAUAUGCUAUUAUUAAAUAAAAGUUAAAUUUAUUAGAGAAAUUUUGAUGUAAAUAUGUCUUCGAACAACACAACAACGUAAGUUGGGCUGAACAAGCCCUAGAAACUACCGUUCAUCUUAUUUAUGCUUACAGUUAAAUAUCACUGAAUUGAUUAACCAUUUCCCUUUUCCAAAAAAAAAGCUUCAAUUGAAAAAAAAAAAAAGAAAAUAGCUGCUUUGAUGUUUUGAAUUAAAAGUACAAGUCAGAUGAAAGAAAUGGAACAUCCCCUUACACAAAUCUUAUACAAAAGAGAAACUUCUUUUUGAAAAGGGAAAAAGCUAGUCAAUGAGACGGCUGAGAAUGUUAGAUUGAAUGUAGCCAAUUUCAAUGAACUCAAAAAUCAAUUAGAAGGGAGAAAGUUAAUUAAGUAGGAAUUAAUGUACAAUAAGCAUCUUUAAUUAGAAUGGCUGACCAACUUUUGAGAAAUCUUACUCAUGACAAAUGAGAGGCAAAGGAAAUUAAAGCACUUUUCUGAGGUGCAUGCAUGGAGGAAUAUAUGCUUUUGUUCCUACCCCUUUUACAUAAUGUCUUGUUCUAACCAUAGUUAGUUACUUCACAAAUUAUUCGCGAAUUAUUGAAAAUCUGAAUGAAAUGGUUCGUAUACGAUUUAUUCCAAAAAUUCAGAAUAAUAUGCGAAUUUUUGGAUUAGAUUUAUUAUUUGCGAAUAAUUCACGUAUGCUGAACUAUUCGGCCAAAAAAAUACGCAAAUUAUUUUGGAUAAAAUCCCUUUCAAAUUAUUUGAACUUCAUGAACUUCCGAAAUAUGUAGAUCAUGAGAAAGAUGAAAAUGGAGACGACAAUAAAAUUUACCAUUGCUUUUUUUACUUAAUCUACUUUAUUUAUUUUGUAGCUAUCUUAUUUUAUAUUUUUAAAAAUUUAUAACUAUGUAUGAUAAUAGCAUAAAUCUAGAGAAAAAAGCUUAGGUUAAUAGCUGAAUUUUUUAUCCCGAAUUGUUAAUUGGUGAACAAAUAAUAUCCGUAUAAAUCACGUAUCUGAAUAUAUAAAUGGUGAAUUCAUUUUUUAAGCCGUAUUUUUCAACAAAUUUAAAAAUUAAGAUACGAAUGUUAUAUGAAUUAUAUCCCUACCGAAUUUUUACCGAAUCCGAAUUAACUAACUAUGGUUCUAACUCCAAUUAAAAAAUAAUUCAAAUAUAGUUUUUAGUUAUAAGACACUUAAUUUUUUGAUGAAUAUUUUUUAUCACACUGCUGAUUGUUAUCCACAGUUGAUCAUGCACAGGUAAAAUGUAAUUAAAAAAAAAGGUGAAUAUUUGCUUUUGGUAACCCCAAAUGCUUUUACAUAAGUAAUGACUUUGCUUUUUAAUACACUAAUCCUGUAAUUUGUUUAAGAAACUAUUUUUAUUACAUUACUUAUUUUGGUUUG
rnacentral:lncRNA from 1 species